UUUGCCGCCACCCAUCAUUUGAUGAACAGUGGCCUGACGACCGAACAAUUUGUAGGACGAGCUCGUCGAUGGCGGAUCGUUGAUUCUCCCCUCUCCAUUCGGCUCUAAACUAAAAUCAUCUGAAUUCAAAUUCUCCAUGACUACAUUUAUGAUUUAUCCGAGGAAAAAUAAAAGUCAAAACACAAAAUUAAUCAGUGAAAGCAAAAAUAAAACAAAUUCGGACGUUACAAACCUGAAAUUCAAUUCUCAAAGCCCAACGCAAUCUUAAAAAAAAAUAAAAUUUGAUUACUUAUGGGAAAAUUUCAAAUCUAAGAGUUUAACAGGGUAUGCUAUUUACAUGGACAGUUUUUA
rnacentral:lncRNA from 1 species